UGGGGAAUAUUGGACAAUGGGGGGAACCCUGAUCCAGCCAUGCCGCGUGUGUGAAGAAGGCCUUAUGGUUGUAAAGCACUUUAAGCGAGAGGAGGCUCUUUUGGUUAAUACCCAAGAUGAGUGGACGUUUACUCGCAGAAUAAGCACCGGCUAACUCUGAUGCCAGCGCCGCGGUUAAAUACAGAGGGGUGCGAGCGUUAAUUCGGAUUUACUGGGCGUAAAGCGUGCGUAGGCGGCUUUUUUAAGUCGGAUGUGAAAUCCCCGAGCUUAACUUGGGAAUUGCAUUCGAUACUGGGAAGCUAGAGUAUGGGAGAGGAUGGUAGAAUUCCAGGUGUAGCGGUGAAAUGCGUAGAGAUCUUGGAGGAAUACCGAUGGCGAAGGCAGCCAUCUGGCCUAAUACUGACGCUGGGGUACGAAAAGCAUGGGGAGCAAACA
rnacentral:rRNA from 1 species